rnacentral:tRNA from 1 species
GGGGGUACAGCUUAGUGGUAGAGUGUGUGCUCAGCAUGCACAAGGUCCUGGGUUUAAUUCCCAGCACCUCCA